GACGAACGCUGGCGGCGUGCCUAAUACAUGCAAGUAGAACGCUGAAGAGAGGAGCUUGCUCUUCUUGGAUGAGUUGCGCACGGGUGAGUAACGCGUAGGUAACCUGCCUUGUAGCGGGGGAUAACUAUUGGAAACGAUAGCUAAUACCGCAUAACAAUGGAUGACACAUGUCAUUUAUUUGAAAGGGGCAAUUGCUCCACUACAAGAUGGACCUGCGUUGUAUUAGCUAGUAGGUGAGGUAAUGGCUCACCUAGGCGACGAUACAUAGCCGACCUGAGAGGGUGAUCGGCCACACUGGGACUGAGACACGGCCCAGACUCCUACGGGAGGCAGCAGUAGGGAAUCUUCGGCAAUGGGGGCAACCCUGACCGAGCAACGCCGCGUGAGUGAAGAAGGUUUUCGGAUCGUAAAGCUCUGUUGUAAGUCAAGAACGGGUGUGAGAGUGGAAAGUUCACACUGUGACGGUAGCUUACCAGAAAGGGACGGCUAACUACGUG
rnacentral:rRNA from 1 species